UCCCUGGUGGUCCAGUGGUUAAGACUCUGCACUCCUAAUGCAGGGGCCCCAGGUUCAAUCCCUGCUCAGGGAA
rnacentral:tRNA from 1 species